AGGGGAAUAGCCAAGCGGUAAGGCAGCCGGCUGUUAACCGGCGAGCGCAGGUUCGAGUCCUGCUUCCCCUGCCA
rnacentral:tRNA from 1 species